UACGUAGGGUGCGAGCGUUAAUCGGAAUUACUGGGCGUAAAGCGUGCGCAGGCGGUUCGUUGUGUCGGCGGUGAAAUCCCCGGGCUUAACCUGGGAAUGGCAUUUGGGACUGCAAGGGCUUUGAGUGCGGCAGAGGAGACUGGAAUUCCUGGUGUAGCAGUGAAAUGCGUAGAUAUCAGGAGGAACACCGAUGGCGAAGGCAGGUCUCUGGGCUGACACUGACGCUCAUGCACGAAAGCGUGGGGAGCAAACAGG
rnacentral:rRNA from 1 species